rnacentral:miRNA from 1 species
CACUGCAGGACUCAGCAG